CUCUGGCUGUGUCGCCGUGGAGCGGAAAGGGCAGGAUUUCGGCGCAGCCGUCGGUGACACCAUGGAGAACGAGUUCACAUACGAAGAUUAUCAGCGCACCGCCGAGUGGCUUCGGUCUCACACGAAACAUCGACCUCAAGUGGCAGUGAUCUGUGGUUCCGGCUUAGGAGGGCUGACCGCUAAAUUAACUCAGCCUCAGGCCUUUGACUACAAUGAGAUACCCAACUUUCCCCAAAGCACAGGUACUGGCUGGACUGUGGGGCG
rnacentral:lncRNA from 1 species